UUUUCGUUUUUCUGUAUCUAACGUUUGACCAUUCGUCUUAUUUAAAAUUUUUUGGCGAUUAAUUUUUUAUUGUUACUACAUAAUAAAAUAUGAAUAAUACUUUAUACGUGACUAAUUUUUUUAAGUUUUUGUAUAAAUUUUUAAAAUAAAAUAAAUAGUUAAACGUUGGACAUGGAAAAAC
rnacentral:pre_miRNA from 1 species